rnacentral:ncRNA from 1 species
UGGUGGGGCAGAGGCCGUGAACCACGCCCCCACAGAUGGGCGCUUAUUUCGGGGGACGUGGGGAGCCAGUAGCGCGACCGGCUACUGGACCU